ensembl:lncRNA
UCUUAGUGGCUGCACCAGUUUGCAUUCCCCCCAACAGUGCAUAAGAGUUGCCUUUUCUUCACAUCUUCGCCAGCAUGUUUUUCUCGAUAAGUUCCUUUUGGUGAUAGAAAGUAAGGAAACAUGGGCAGAAAUAACACUACAUCUUAAUCCAGAUUCCAUGGGAGGGACAUGAGACAUUUUCUCAAAAUGGCCAAGGAAGAUUCUCCUAAUAGCAAACCAACGGGAAAAAGCAAAUCAAAUGAAUAGACUGUUUGCUUUUAAUCUGCAUAAAGAAUGCUGCUCUCCAACGUGCUUUUUUUGAUUAAAUGUAACACACACUUUUCCUUGUCAAUAAAAAUAAGUCUUUGUCCCAGUCAAAAAAAACAAACCAAUGGGAUAUUUUCAGAGUUUAGGCCUCUGGUGUUCCUUUUCCCAUGAAAAAGUCCCUCCUCAAGAUGCUCAUUGUCCUGCCUGACUUCUGUUUCCUGGUCAGGAGCACUCUUGCCUGCCUAGGGGAGCACUGUCUCCUGGCCAUGCCUGGUCCCUCGUUCCAUCUUCUCACCUGGUGUCUGGUGUGGGGUUUCAAGACUGCUGCCUUGCCUGAGGGAGAUCUCCCAUCCCUGUGGCCUGGGCUGGGCAGAGCAGUGGUGGUGGAGGGAGGUCUUCAGUGGGACGCAGGGGAAGGGAAGCUGCUCUUGUGUGGAUGGGGCUCAGGAACAGCUCUGCAUCCUGCUCUUCAUUCAGGGGUGCCUGGGCUCACUCGCUGUGCCUUGGGUCCCAGGGAAGUGGAUGGCUGUUGCUGGUGACAUGGCUGUUCUGCAAAGCUGAUUGAUUGAUCAAAUACACCACUCAUCAGGGGGAAUUUAUGGCCAUUUCUCCUGAUUCUGAUGUUCGGUUUUUAUUUUCUAAGCAGACAUUUAUGCCUCCUCCCUGCCCAUCAUUUCUGUGAUAAAAGUGGGACUGUGAACUUGGAGCAUUUUUGAGCUCUGAUACCCUCAUAAAUAACAGAUAUUCGUGAGGAGGGGGCUUCCAGGACAGCCCCUCUCAGUCCCAUUUCGUUUUCUGCCCCAUUUCAGCAAGUCUCCAAGUAGGAAAGGUGUGAUUGCAGUUGUCCCCAAUGCAACAUCGAUGUCAUGUCAGACAUUUCUCAAAGGAGCCAGGGCGCUCGUUACUUGUUACAUUGUUUCCUUUUAAGGCUGUUUUUUUUUUCUCUCUGCAAGGUGGGGAAAUUAAACUAGUAGACUGCAGUUCCCCCCACUUCUGAGCUGUUUUCAGUGCUUUAGGUUGACAUACGAACCUGAGAAGCGUCCUCCAGGAUCAGAGAAGCAGCGAGCCCCCAGCUCCACAGCAGAGUCAGCUAGUGAGCCUGCAGACCUCCCUGUAGUGACUCCGUCCUAGAGCCCAUUUUGUUCCUGUCACCUCCAUCAACCUUUAUUGACUAUCUACUGAGUGCAAGGCAUUACGCUCCGUGUGGAAUCGUCCUUCCACCUCUGGGGGUGGCAGAUAUCUUCCUUCUAGAUGUCUCUCUGCCUCCUCAGUCUCAGGCAUGCCGGGGUGCAGAAAAGAUGAAACAGUUCUCCAGCCCUCCUUUCAGCUACUUCAGUCAUUACGAUGUGGAAGGAGUCUCCACAGGUCCUUCAGCCCAAUGCUCUGCUUCUCGACUGCACAAACCAAGCUGUAAAGCCAGCUCCCCUUGGCCCCGUCUGCUCGCUGCCUGCUCUCUCCUGCACGUUAACAACAGGGAGGGAGGAAAGAAACUCUGGAAAGAACCCAAAGUGCCCAUUAGAUGAUUGUUAUUAUGCUGGUGCCUGUUGCAAUGAUCUAAGUCUGAGGUCUUCAUAAAAUCCAACAUUUUCCAAUUAGCUGUUGCUUAAUUAGCAUCAUGAAUAUUCAGAGCCCCCACGCCCUUUUGCAUCCUCCCUCUUCAAGUCUCUUCCAGCCCAGCCUGCUUCACCAGGUUGUAUUUGUGACAGCUGCGGUCGGGAGGUGGCGCCCGCAGAGCCCAGGCCUCCUUCCACCUCCUUGCAAGGCUGGGCUGAUACAGGCGUCUUUGGGCCUGGCUCUCACUACCCACCCUCCUCCAGGGGCCAGAAGGCGCUCGGGCCAUCAGACCUCCCGUUCGGAAACAUGCAAAAUGCACAGGUUUCCUUACUUACCAUGAAGCCUCUGAGGAUGAUUACUUCUGGAAAAGGCCCUCCCUGAGCACUAGAAUAUGUGAUCCUUUAAGCACAGACUAUUGCAGCAGUGAGAAGUCUGACUGCUCCUGACUGCUGCGGGGUCCUCCCUCCACCCUCCCUCUCUUUCUUCUUCCUUCCUUUUUAAAAAAAAAAAAAAAAAAUUAGCAACAGAACCUUUCCUUCAGAGGCACCUUCUUUAGAACCUCAAUAUAUAUAACAGAUAAAAACGGCACAGCUCUAGCUAGAGCGCGACUGAGGAUGCAGAGCCUCUCGCCUUCUCCACCCACCCUUCCAUCGGAUCCCCUCUGGGGCACCUUUUGGAGAUCUACGGAGCACAGUGUGCAAAACAUUGAUUGUCGUCUUUUCUUUUUUUCAGGAAACAAAAUGGAAGGCCAGGAAGCUUUCAGCAAUUGCUUAAGAAAAUGACUCAACUGAGAAGCAACAGUCUUCAGAGUGGAGCCAAUGCUGUGUUUGCCGUGGUAGAAGCAGUCUCCCAGAGUUUGAAGAGCUUCUAGAUGGUACAGCACUGCCUUCCACCUUCCUACAGGCUGAGCAAAAAGAGGGCGUACCAGACACUCUGAUCCCUCCUGGGAAGAUGCUAAGAUGAUGUGGCUUGGAGAGCAUUUCAGGCAGAGUGGCAUGCCCUCUGCCAGAGUUCCACCCCAGAGGUCUUCCACCUGCCCACAAGUCCUGCCACAGAGUUCAGAAUUCACUGCAAUCUAAACAACAGCUCUGUUGGUGGCAUGUAAUAAACACACCCUGCAGCUUUAUGUUGCUUAAUU